GAAAUGCGAUAAGUAGUGUGAAUUGCAGAAUUCAGUGAAUCAUCGAAUCUUUGAACGCACAUUGCGCCCCUCGGUAUUCCGUGGGGCAUGCCUGUUCGAGCAUCAUCUACACCCUCAAGCUCUGCUUGGUGUUGGGCGUCUGUCCCGCCUCCUUCGCGCGCGGACUCGCCCCAAAUCCAUUGGCGGCGGCCCUUUCCUCCCUCUCGCGCAGCACAUUGCGCUUCUCGAGGCGCGGCGGACCGCGUCCAGCAAGCAACCGUCACACCGUCUUUGACCUCGGAUCAGGUAGGGAUACCCGCUGAACUUAAGC
rnacentral:misc_RNA from 1 species